GCAUCUACAGGUUUAUCAUUGAUUAUGGCCUUGCAAAGAAGUAUAGGGAUCUUCAGACUCAUAAGCAUAUCCCAUACAGAGAAAACAAGAACCUCACAGGCACAACUCGUUAUGCUAGUGUGAACACUCACCUUGGCAUCGAGCAAAGCCGAAGAGAUGAUUUGGAAUCCCUUGGUUAUGUCUUAUGUAUUUUCUAAGAGGAAGCCUUCCAUGGCAGGGGCUAAAGCUGGCACAAAAAAGCAAAAAUAUGAUAAGAUUAGUGAAAAGAAGGUAUCAACUCCUAUAGAGGCCAACAUUUAAAGCACAGUUAGUGAGAGAAGCUCCUCCUUCUCUCUAAAAAUCAGGUGUUUUAGAUAAGUUUUCUGUUUUUAUUCCUUUCCAUUUCUCUUGAUGGCGAGUAUGGGAGAGUUCCGGUUGGGAAAAACUGUGUCACAGUGAUCAUUUUCAACAUUCUAGAGAGUUUUCAUUACCAAGGUCUCUUUGGAUAUUUUCGAUAAAUAUGACAAGGUGGUGAUUCUUUCAUCCCUAAUAAAAGAAGCAAGGGACCAGACUGGAGGACGCGAGGAAGGCUA